AAAGCGUGCGCAGGCGGUUAUGUAAGACAGAUGUGAAAUCCCCGGGCUCAACCUGGGAACUGCAUUAGUGACUGCAUAGCUGGAGUACGGCAGAGGGGGAUGGAAUUCCGCGUGUAGCAGUGAAAUGCGUAGAUAUGCGGAGGAACACCGAUGGCGAAGGCAAUCCCCUGGGCCUGUACUGACGCUCAUGCACGAAAGCGUGGGGAGCAAACAGGAUUAGAUACCCUAGU
rnacentral:rRNA from 1 species